GAAGGUGGUUCAAGAUAAAAGAAGAAAAGGGGAAAUGAAAGGAUGUAUUUCUACUUCUUAGUCUAUUGGCAUCUGGUAGAAAAGAGCUUCUUGAAUUCUUUCCUGCUUCCCACUAACCACUUCCCCACUCCUUUCACACACACAAACACACACUUCAUCUCUUCACGUCUCCUUCCAUGCUCAUAGGUAUCUUUGUCUUUCCACAUAACAUUAGAUGAAAUAUCAGCCAUGUCAUUUUGUAUCCUCAAUUUAGGUAAUUUACAGUGUAGUCAUGAGAUCGACUCAUUUUAAACCAGCAAAUAAAUAAAACAACUAGAAACAGUGGCAAGUACUAUAAAGGGCAGGCUGAGUGCUGAGGUAGAGAAUAAUGUCAUUUAGGCAGGAGAGUCAAAGAAGGCUUCCCUGAAGAGGUGACUUCAAGGUGAGAUCCAGAGCAUGAGAGGAGCCAGCCACACACAGAGGAGAGGCCCCAGAGCAUGUGCAGAGGCCUUGAGGGGAAAUGCAUGUAGUUUAUUUCAUCAUUGUUAUCAGUGGACAUUAUCAUCAAAAACUAUCCUGCUGCAAAUAAGGAGUUGUAAUUUUGAUAAGUUCAUGCUUGUCUCAAUUAACUUUUAUCACCAAACUAACUGGUAUUUCAAGAAGUUAUAAACCCA
rnacentral:lncRNA from 1 species